UGCAGGCUGCCGCCCGCAAGCCUUGCGCUCCCGGGGAGAUCCCGGGUGCGCAAGGCUUGCGGACACCUGCGCGAAGCACGGGACGUCCUCUGAGGGCGCCCCGUGCUCCGCGCUGCAGGCUGCUGCCCGCAAGCCUUGAGUGCCCAGGGAACUCCCCGGGUGCGCAAGGCUUGCAGAUAGCUCCUGGA